rnacentral:lncRNA from 1 species
GAUUUUGAUUAUUUCCGAAUAAAACCAGCUGUUUCUUGAAUCCACUACCAGUAGUGCAUGGUACUGCAAAGAAUUCACCAUGGUUGGAAAAGUGCUUUCAAAAGGCCUCUGGGCUAAAGUUGUAGGAAGGCACAAGUGAGGUGAAGGCUACAAAAAUAUUUUGAAGGCUUUAGCUAUCCCUAGUACUGUUCAGAGCAUCAUUAAGAAGUGGAAAGCGUAUGGCACCCCCAACACCUUGGGCAGUGGCGGGCCGUCAGAUAUAUAUUUUCCCACAAAUAUGCCGUCCGUCCAAACUGGAUGACUGAGCCAGGAGGACAUUGAUCAGAGAAGCAACCAAGAGGCCAAAGGCAACUUUGAAGGACUUACAAGUUGUUAUGGCUGGGACUGGUUUGUCUGUGAAUGUGACAACAAUCUCACAGGCUUUACACAAAGCUGGCUUGCUGGCAAGGUGGCAAGAAAGAAGCCUUUUCUGAAAAGGUGCCACUGUACAGAUUGUUGUAAAUUUACUUGCAUAAAAAACAGCUCUUAAAUCGUCCAUGUUUCUGAUUGUUGUGGAAAUUGUCAACUACUUAUUCAAACUGCUACAGUCUAUCAUUCUAUCCAUGUCUGGCAUAGAAAGGACAUUUGACAACUAGGCCCUGUCAUAUUGUCUAUUACCCAUCUAUCUUUUUACUUUACCAUAUCUAACGCCUGCUCUGUCUCUUCCUCUAUAUGGGAUAAGUGGUCUGGCGCUGAGCAGCAGGUCUGAACUUCAGCAGGUGCUGGAGAGGAGGAAGAGGGUGCAGACUGACUGGGAAGAGGAGGGAAAGAGCAGGACUCCUCUGGAGGAUGUGCUACUCAGACGUCAACAGAAACAAUUUGAGAGGGAGAAGGAACAAGACGAAAAGGUACGAGGUGAAGCCCAGUUGUUGGAGUUUGUUAAAGUCCGACAGAACCUAAGAAAGAUCCACUCAGCGGUCCAGAACAAGGCUGCAAACACCUGAAGUGCUACAGAAGAAUGCACCCAAAUUGUAAAAUAACUCUUGUCUUUUUCUGAGGUUUUCAGCUCUUACUUCCCUUCAAGUGUAAAAGUAACAACAAGGUGCAUGCUGAAAGACAAAUGCUAUUGAUGGACUUCUUAAAGAUAGACAAAUACAGUAGAACUGUUAUGUAUGUAUUCUUUCAUAGCUGUGUAAAGAAAUGUCAUCUGCCAAUUUGUCAGAUGUAAAAUAUUUAAACAUAUUUUUGCUUGAUAUGGGAGCUGUUAUUUAUCAAUAGUAUGUUGCAGAAAACAACUAUAAUCUCCUUUGACUUGUGAAAUUUGUUAACAUCAUUAUUGUGAAUGCAUGUUAAAGAAUUCUUCAU